GGGUUAACACUUAACACGUUUAAUACCUAACACAUUAAACACUUAACACAGGAUCGAACCUGUAGACCCUGCUGAUCCCAUUGCACCACACUGGGAACUCCACAGUCUUCAGAUUUUUAAAUGCAAGAAUCAGAUACAAAUCCCUAACCAUCAUCCACUAUAGUGAUAAUAAUAAUAAUUGGCAAAUAUAUAUCAGUCUUUCUAUAUAGUCUUCCAAAAGGGCCUUUUGGCUGAUACUUUCCAUGUUUUUCCUUUUCCCCUUCAUGUCUGUUCUCUACCCAUUUCCAGACUGCUCUGUGUGCCCUGCAGUGGUUUGCCCAGCCUCCCUUCCUCUGGCUUCUGGUUAUCUUAGCUCCAUAAGAACAAUGAGGUGUGGGGGGAAUAGAAGCUGUGGUACUCGUUCUCCUUGUCCCAUCCCGGGCAGGCUGCAGGUCAGCAGAGGCUCUGUCCUUGUCCUGGAGACCCGCUGCUACAGUCUUGCAGCUCCAGUUCUUCUGAGGUCUGGGAACCAUUAUUGCUGUUUCCCCCUUCAGGCUUAGUCCAAAUUGUUUGGUCCAGAGUGUUUCAUGUUCCGUUUUUGCUUUCCACAAUCUUCUACACAGCUUUGUAAAUUGUUCCCUAUUCACAUGUUCUUAAUUAACCCUGUAGGUACAUUUUCUCUCUCCUGUUGGGACUGUGAAUGUUAGAGUGGGAUUAAAGCAACUCCCUCCGUAUUACUCUAUAGCAUUCUGAACUUCUCCACAUUAACACGCUAACUGCACUUUUUAAAGGUGUCUUCAUCAUAGUCUUUCAAGACCUAAUAAUACGUUGUACUCUUAUCUAACCUAGAAGUAGAUGAUGAGUUAAUGCCGGCAGAAUGAGUUUCCUGAUUUUAAAAUUAUUCGGCAGACGUGAUUUAGUAUCUCCAUGAGAAUGUGGCAAGGCAGAGAAAAUAAAGAGUGACUUUUCAAUAUCCUAUAAACCUUUUAUGAAUUGAGGUCUGGGGGAGGAGAAAGGAAAGACAGGUUCAGGCAUGGAAACUGGAGGAAUAUAUCUUCCCCUGAGAAAAACAGGGAGGCAAAGGAAUUAUGUGAGAGGACGCAGAAAACAAAUGCAUAGGUAAAAAGCGAGUCCAAAGGAGGACUCCAGUGUUGUUAGCAGAAGAAUGGUGUAGUCAGAGGCCUCAUGUGCUCAGAAUGAGAAAGACACGUAAUCAGACUUUGGAGAGUUCAAAAUAUUGAGAAUAUUUGCUUCCAAGACUGCAUAAGAAGUUAAAUAAAGGUAAAUGAAGGGAUUGCUAAACAGCUAACACAAGGGCUGGAGAAGCUCCUCACCCUACAAAAUAAUCACUCCCAAAUACCCCCACACACACACACACACACACUUUGCAACCUUCUCUUACGCUUGAUCUCUAUAAGAUCAAGCAAGAGUGACUUUUAGACAAUAUGUAAUCUUCAUAUUUUAAAAAAAGAAAACUUCUUUUUUGUUUUUGUUUUUUAAACAAUUCUUAAAGUUUCUUUUAUCUCCCAGUAACUUUAGUGGAUUUUUUCUGGCAAAUCUUCAUGUUGGAUUUUUACAGUAAGGAUCCAGCUCUGUUUUCAAAAGUGAGAUAAAAUUGUUGCUAAAAAAGGAAACCUGAGCAAUUUCGUAUGGCUAGUAUGUAGAAACAUUUCCCCAUUUUAAAAAAGCUGAGCAAAUUAGUUGAUUUUGAGCAUUGAAGAGCUACUCAGAAAUGCAAUUCUUUUCAGUCAUUUCUCUUAUAAAGUAUAUUGUUAAUAAUCAAAUUUAAAUGCAGUGGAAAAGAUCCUCAGAUCUAAGAAACCUCUUUAGAGAAUACUUUGCCCAGCCUAUAAUCAUGCCAUGGCUAUUUACCCAAUAUUUAGUAUAAAAUCUCUGUAGAACUAUGAUGGGUCUGAGUAUUAAUCUUAUUUGCAAGUUUUCCAACCAUAGCUUCAUGGAUGAUGGCAGAAACUGAGGUAAUUCUCUCACAACAAGAAUAGCAAAAAGUACUGUUACUCUGGCAUUGGGUCUUUAAGGAAAAAUUCAGACAGAUCAAUAACAUGAGGAAGGUUGGGUGAUACGCCCCAGUGUGUUGCAUUACAGAGGGGAAAGCCUGAGUUUAGGGACCCCGUGUCUUUUGCAAUGGGCCGUAGACCACCUGCCUUUGUUCAGCAGGGAGACAGUGUCAUGACCUUUAAGGCUAUAAGCAAAGUUGACCUUUGCUCUAGAGGUACGCACAGCUUUCCAAGGCUGUUCACCAGGCAAACACCCUGGAUGAGAUAGUCUAAACAAAGGACAGGCAGUGUUUCUGCUUGCAAGGUAUGCAGAGAUGUGAGGAACACAGGAAGAACUGCCUUCCGGUAAGAUGAACUUAUAUGUGACAUAAAAUUUAGAUGUACCAUCUCCAGCACUCAGAUCUCCUUAUUUGUGUCUAAUACACAGCUAGCUUUUUUUUUUUCUUUCUGUUUUGCUUUUUAGGGCCACACCUGAGGCAUAUGGAAGUUCCCAGCCUAGGGGUCCAAUAGGAGCUGCAGCUGCCGGCCCAUGCCACAGCCAAAGCAGCGCAGGAUCCAAGAUGCAUCUGUGACCUACACCAUAGCUCACGGCAAUGCCAGAUCCUUAACCGACUGAGUGAGGCCCGGGAUUGAACACUCCUCCUCAUGGAUACUAGUUUUAUUUGUUACCACUGAGCCGCAACAGGAACUCCCACAUAGCUUGCUUUUUUAUCCUAAUAGUAUGUCCGGGAAUUAUUAACCUUCUGAUACCAAGCUUCUAUUUCUAUGAGACCCUGUGUCAGUGUGAUUUUUGACAGUAUAACAAUGUCCACUGAGAAUUUAGAUUAAUUUGAGUAUAUAAUCUGAGGCAUUACUUUGAAUAAGUUUACUAAUAUAAGGCUUUAAUAAUAUUUGAUGACAUGAAUUCCCAUAUUAAAUUAGUUUCUUUGAUUUUCAUGAAUUGAGGUUAUAAAUUUUACUUUCAGGAAAAAAUGCAUAGCACUAAAUUUCCAUAAAAAGAGAGAAUAGCUUUUAAAUAUAUAUCAGUUGGGAUCUGACUGUUCUUGGUCACUUUAAAAAAAGUGGCACAGUUUCAUUGGGAAAUUUCUCUUGGCUACCUAACAUCUGAGUUGAAAUUGAUUAAUGAAUUUCUUUUAGGAAAUAGCAAUAAUUAUGUCACACAUUUUAGUGUCUAGUAUAAACUCAAUAUUCCAACUCCACCAAGAGAAGUCAGAUGAUAUGGGUCAAAGACAAAAAAUUAGAACUCUACAUGGUGUUCAGUGGAAGACAACAAGUAUAUGUCCUACAAUUUCUUUUUUUUUUUUUUCUUUUUUGGGCUGCACCCAUGACAUAUGGAGGUUCCCAGGCUAGGGGUUGAAUCUGAGCUAUAGCUNGACAGCUCACAGCAAUGCCAGAUCCUUAAUCCAUUGAGGCCAGGGAUGGAAUCGCCAUCGUCAUGGAUACUAGUCAGAUUCAUUUCCAAUGAGCCAUGACGGGAACCCCAUCCUACAAUUUCAUGAUGGAACUGCUGCCAUUUCCUCUCAUUCACACUAAUUGAGACCUUACAGGACUGGGAAGGGUUCUCUCAGGGGACAUAAGUCAGGUGUUCACAGCUUUAGGGACAAGAAUUCUACUUUGCUUAGCCGUCUUAAAGUUAUAACUACUUGCCCUUUCUCAUUAUUAGGUUUGUUAAGACCUAAAUGUCAAGAUUAAGAGUAGACAUAGGAUAUAGCAUCUAAUAAACAUUUUGUUCAAAGGGCAGGAGUCCUUGAGACUUAGAGGUAAUGUACUCAGGAGGUCAGGGCUAGUUAACGGUAGAGGAUAAAGCUUCAAUAGUGCAGAAUAGAAUUCUUUUUCUCUUGUGUCCCUACUGUGUAGCUCUUUCAUUCUGGAAUUCCACAUCCCUUCUAAGUAUCUUUCUAUUGCAUUGUAGUGAAAAUGCAUUCUGCUCUCAUUGUCACCAUACAAUCUCAACCAAUUGAAGGAGAUCACUUAUCUCAACUUACGUUUUACAAUGAAAUAAAACAAUUACUUGUUUUCUGUGAUUGUGCUAUUUACUAAGAUUAUGUAAAUAAAAUGCAAUAAAAAGAAAGGUUAAUAGAAAGAAGUGAGAGUACAAAUGUUGAACUCUACAAGCAUUUGAAGAAAAAGUCUUCAAGAAAAAAUUCUUCAAGAAAAGUUUAGGAAUUCUGCUGAGACUUUCAGGAUUGAAGGGGGAAGCUCUUUCCUCAGGACCCCAUCAGAGCAGCCAAAAGGGAUUGAGCUCACGUCUCAAGAGCUUGUGCUAUGGGGAGGCUGCUGGGUUAGUAGCAUGGAACUUUAAAGGUAUGGAGACUAAGACACACAUCCCAGAGGAGGCAGGACAAGAGGGAAUGCAAGGAAUGUAAAGGAGUUUUAAAUGAGGGAAGAAAAAUAUGAGCUGUGGCUACAUGGGGUGAGACUUUGAGGGGAGAAAGAGAUAUCUGAAAACUGUUGUAAGCAAGUGCUCUGUGCAAUUUUAUGAAUUGCCUCAUUGUUGCUUCCUCAAAAGAUCUUUCAUAAAGGUCGAUAUUCAUCUCAAGUCACUUUUUAGAGCUCGAUGUGUUUUUAGAUGGGAUACUGAUUUAACGCUGCCUCAGAUGAUGGGUAGCCCAGCUUAGAUGAGUUGCAUAUAAUUCUAUGAAUCACAUAUGGAAAGAAGAUGGGAGCAAAAUUCUCUUAUGAUAUUGAUAAUUAUUUCAAUAAAUAUAUUCAUGUGUUGGGAGUUCCCAUCGUGGCGCAGUGGUUAACGAAUCCAUCUAGGAACCAGGAGGUUGCAGGUUCAGUCCCUGGCCUUGCUCAGUGGGUUAAGGAUCUGGCGUUGCCUUGAGCUGUGGUGAGGUUGUAGAUGCGACUCGGAUCUGGCAUUGCUGUGGCUCUGGCAUAGGCUGGUGGCAGCAGCUCUGAUUAGACCCCUAGCCUGGGAACCUCCAUAUGCCAUGGGAGUGGCCCUAGAAAAGGCAAAAAGACAAAAAAAAAAAA
rnacentral:lncRNA from 1 species